AUUGAACGCUGGCGGCAUGCUUUACACAUGCAAGUCGAACGGUAACAGGGUGCUUGCACCGCUGACGAGUGGCGAACGGGUGAGUAAUGCGUCGGAACGUGCCGAGUAGUGGGGGAUAACGCAGCGAAAGUUGUGCUAAUACCGCAUACGUACUGAGGUAGAAAGUGGGGGACCUUCGGGCCUCACGCUAUUCGAGCGGCCGACGUCUGAUUAGCUAGUAGGUGAGGUAAAGGCUCACCUAGGCGACGAUCAGUAGCGGGUCUGAGAGGAUGAUCCGACACACUGGGACUGAGACACGGCCCAGACUCCUACGGGAGGCAGCAGUGGGGAAUUUUGGACAAUGGGCGAAAGCCUGAUCCAGCCAUGCCGCGUGUCUGAAGAAGGCCUUCGGGUUGUAAAGGACUUUUGUCAGGGAGGAAAUCCCUAGUGCUAAUACCGCUGGGGGAUGACAGUACCUGAAGAAUAAGCACCGGCUAACUACGUGCCAGCAGCCGCCGUAAUAC
rnacentral:rRNA from 1 species